AAGACUGCAGCCAUCUCUUUCUAAGAUGGAGGAAUUCCUUUGCAGAGGACCCAAACUUACUCUAAGAAGUACUCCAUGUAUCAGCAAAGAGAUGACUGCUACUUCUAUUUCUACUCUAUCUGUUUUAAGAGAGACAGCUGUCCCUUCUGCCACUGUGAAGUGGCUCUUGGGAGUGAACAAGUCUGCCAAAUGUGGAUGGAAGGUUGCUGUUUCAGCAGGGACUGCAAGUUCAGGCACAUGAGAAUUGAUGUGUUUGCCUAAAGAUGUGCUCUCCAACUUAGUCCACAAAACCACUUUUCAUUGCUAUAGAAGAAGCACAGUGAGAUUCCCUGCUUUUGGGAGAAUCGGCCAGGAGGCUGUCAGAAAGCCCACUGCACUUUUCUUCACCUGAAGGAACGCAGUGGGAACG